rnacentral:piRNA from 1 species
UGGACACGAAGAAACAGACUGAUGGUGGAA